UGUUAUCUGAGAUGAACGUUAACUUGAAUAUGUCCAACCUACUUUGAUAACUAGGGAAUUCAAUGCUAUGCGGCUGUCGGGCCACCUCAUGAGUGGAGGGCAAAAACAUACCUCAGGAUACCCACCUGCUAGGUGCAGGUUUGGACAUAUAAAGAAACGACAUUUUGGAUGUAAA
rnacentral:other from 1 species